CGGAUGCGCUCCAACGGAUUCGUGAUGCGCUUCUAGAAAACAACUUCCCCACUUCCCGUGCCACCAGAGAGUACACGAUCUGUAACUUCCUGACUCCUCUCCUUGAUAUUUUCCUUUAAUCCCCAUCCGCAUCCUCUCCUCCCCCUAGUAAUACUCCUGCGAAAUCCUCUCCCCGCUAGUAAUAUGCCCAAUCAGAUCCUCUUCUGCCUCGACGCCCUAGCCAGAUCCUCUUCUGCCGCUGAGCCCCGGCCGCGCUGCAACUCACCUUCACAAGGCUAGAUGUUUAGGGUUCAUCAAUUCUGUGCAGCGGCGAGCCGGCGCACCGAACACUACUGACCAUCGACGGAAACCACGCUAUGCAGACACAUCGCUGGAUAUCCGGUUCAGCUCUGCAGAUAUUUAAGUUUAUCUCUCACCCAACCCAAAUUUCUGCACUCCAUUGUUGGCUUGGUCCGUUCACUUUAUUUUUUCAGGUAAUGUGGUGGAUCUGUGUUGUGCCUCCUGCCGUUCCUGACCUCCAACAAAGAGUCCCCUCACUCCAUGAUCCCCUGCCAAGAGAGCCAGACAGCCAGCCAUCGCACCCACCCGACUUCUCCCUUAAUCAGAUUGCCAAAAUAAGUGGAUGACGUAUGGCUGAGAUGAUGAGAGAAAGUUUCGAGAAUGCUGCUGCAACCAUAUAGUUGUCUAUUAUUUUUUAGAAUGUUAUCGAGAUACACAACUUGUAUUCAGCAAAUCAUGCUCUAUGUAAAGCUACAAAUUUCAUUUAAUAUAUGAAAUAUUUCUGUUUA